rnacentral:misc_RNA from 1 species
UCUUCCAAAAAAAUCCACUCGUCUCCUAAACCAAGUCUCCUCUGGGUCUAUGAAUUCCCUUCUUCAUGAGUAGGAUCCAAAACCACCACCACCAACAACGAAGCUUAUUCAAAUAUAACACCAGGAAGAGAACCAGAUGGUGAAGAGUCCACAAAAAUCCGCCAUGUAUAUUGCCAGAGGGUUCUCAGAUCAAGGUUGGAGACUUCUCUUGUUACUAGUUCCUCCUCUUUCUCUCACUGUUUUUAUCUGUGUAUACGCUACACCCCUUAGUACUUUUUCCACUUUCGCCCCUCUCGCUUCCUUUUUCUUCAACAGGACCGUCAAUUCCACCACUUCAGCUGAUGAUCCUUGUGUGUUGCCAUUGAAUCGAAGCCAGCCAGUGGGGGUGAGGUCGUGGAAGGAUGAAUUGUACCGAUCAAGAAUGGCGGUUUGUUUGGUCGGUGGGGCUCGUAGAUUUGAGCUUACUGGACCAUCGAUUGUGGAGAAUAUUCUAAAUUUGUAUCCAAACUCAGACCUCUUUUUGCACAGUCCUUUAGACAAAAAUGCAUUCAAGUUCUCGCUCUUGAAAGUCGCCCCCAGAAUCGCAACCGUCCGCAUCUUUCAGCCCAAACCCAUACCGGAAACAGAGGCUGAGGUCCGAGUUCUGACCGCCGCGAAUUCCCCAA